CUCCUGAAUGCUGGGCAAAUACUAUAUCACUGUGUUACAUCCCCAGCCCUCAGUUGGAGCCCUGAGGAGUCAUCCAUGAAGCACCUGGGUUGGGGCCCACCUUGCAAGCCCACCAGCCCUCGAGCCUCAGCUGUGACCUCUGUCUUUUCCUCACUUACCUUCCAGAAGAAGGAAGAGCAAAUAGGUUUCAUGUUACCAUUAUCAUAGUGAGCUUGGUGUUGAGGAUGAUAUAUGCAUUAGUAAAAUAAAACUCAGAGACAUCACAUAGCACUUGUCUGGGAUGCAGGAGGUACCAUGCCAUGGCUGGAUGGAAGGUGGUUCCAGACCUUUAAAUGGAGUCCCUGGUCCUUGGCCACCAGAAGACUCUGAGUGCAAGGAAAUGUCUCCUCUCAGCUUCGUCAUGAGCCAGCCAGCUGUGCUAGUAGCAAGAACAGCAUCCAUGGGACAGGCUUUCUUCUGUGGACCAGUGAGGGGUAAGGAGUGAGGCCAGCAAUGCUGGACUCUGCUUCUGAAAUCUUCGGCUUUUCCAUCUUCAGGAAACCCUCUGGAAGCUGGCAAGGGUGAUUUCCCAGGAGGACGUCAUGUCCCUGAGUUCUAUGACAGUAAGCAAUGGGACACGUGGACUGGCCAGACCCUGGCUGCAGUGGGCCUUCCUUGGGCUAGUGGCCUUGGCUCCCUCCUGGCUUCCCUUGCUUGGACCUCAUGCAAGUAACUUACUGAGACAGCGUCACAUGCACAGACUGGCCAGGGCUUUAAACACGGACUUGCUUCAGCUUCAGAGGACGGGAAAGACCUGGGCCCAAUGAUGAGCCCCACCCCAACAAGGCUGCAGGUCACAGAUUGUCCUGUGAAGGGAAGUGAUGGGACAGCCUCUUUUUCAGCUUUUAUGGAAACCGAGAGAAUGGUGACUCUUGACAAGGUCACAGGAUUGGAAGAUGGAGCCAGGCUGCCCUGGACUUGGCAAACAUCAGAAGGGGAAGCAAAGACCAGAGCGGGAAAAGGAGACUCAGCAGCCACUGUCCUGUGGUGCAGUAGAGGGCUGGUGGCACCCUGAGAAAUCCUGCCUGGGGAAGUGUGCCCCAACCUUCCCAAGGGUCCUUUGCCUUUGACCUGAUGGCAUCUCCUCCACUGCUCCUGCCCUUGUCAUGCCCCACCUGGCCUGUUCUGGGCCUGGUGUACCAUGGAACACUGGCACAAGGAAGAUCUCUCCCCAUCCACAUUUCCACCCCAAAGCACCAGGUGGGGCGGGGUGCUAGGAAGUCCUUGAAACCCAGGCUGCAGCCUGCUAGGAGUCAUCAACUCCCUCUCCGAAGCUGUCCUCCCCUUAGUGCUCCCCUGCCUCCCUCCUCCUGUCACAGCAGGCAGGGCCUGGGCUCAGGAGCCAGGCUGCUGUGCUGUUGCCAGGGGAGCCGGGAGCCAGAUCCGAGCUAUGCAGGGAAAAGGCUCAGGCUGUCAAAGGGUCUGAGAUGAACCACCGCCGCCCCCAUGCAGCUGGGCUCAGACGUGUCUAGGCUCUUGUUCUGUGCCUGAGAAUGGUGAAGCCCAGUGAGAGGUUCAAGGGCAAACUCGCUAUUCAUUAGUCAGGGGUUCUUGACGUCCGGUCUCUCCAAGGGGUGAGUUACCCCCCUUCCUCUUUCUCUCCCUCCUGUGACACAUUCCUGGGUGCCUUUGGUGAGGACUACACACCCUCCCCGUGGGCCUCUGAAUAAACUCCCCUCAAGGAGACCAGGCAGGACAGAGACAAUGGCUUCAGGGAGCCAUUCAGGCGGGACCCCAGCCACACUGACCUGCCCUUUACCCCCAGGGUUCCUACAGGCCCCUCUCUCCUGUGACUCAGGGUACCCUUGGGCCACCAGCCUGCCCAGAGCUGGAGAAAAGGAAGCCACUGUGCAUUGCCCUUAGGGACACCAGGCAGCACAGUGCCAUAGUGUUUUUGGGGGGUACUGGAAUCAAACUCAGGCCCUUACACUUGGGAGGCAGGUGGCAGAACCACUGAGCUAAAUCCCUGGCCCAUUCUUGAUGGGCUCCUUCAGUGCUUCUGUUUCACUGGCUGGCAUUUUUGUGCCUUCUGUGCCAUUCUGUGUAUAUUUUAAGACACUGUAAUACUGUUGGUUGGGAAGUAUAAAUUGUACAAUAUUUUCUGAAAUGUGGCAAUAUUAGAGUAUAAAGGGCACACAUACUUUACCACAGAUUGCACUGCGUUGUACAUAUAUUUGCAAAAGUUCCCAAAGUAUGUGGAAGGAUGUUCGUGGGAUCAUUUCUUUUUAAGAGUGUAAGGAAAUGGAAGUGAGCCAAUGGGCCUUUUCAUAGUGGGAAUAUCAUGGUAUGCAACUAUAAAAGUCAAUAUGGUGGGUCUCUAUAUCCAAGUUGAUAUGGAAGGUUGGUCAGUGUGUAUUAUUGGGUGAGUAGAAUAAAUUGCAGAAUAGGCAAUAGAGAAUGUUCUUAUUUGUUUAUAUUUAAAAGUCAGACAUAGGAGCUUGGAGUGUAGCUCAGUGGCAUAGCAUGUGCUUAUCCCAGCACCCAACCCACCCAGCUGUGCCAAAUGUAUGUGUGAUGUCACACUCCUGUAAUUCCAGCACUCUGGGAGGCUGGUGCCAAAGGAUUGCAAAUUCAAGCCUGGCCUGAAUGUCUUAGUGAGACCUUGUCUCAAGAAAGCGGGUGUGGCAGGGUCCUGGGAAUGUGCAUCACUGCAAAGGCUCCAAGCUCAAUCCCAAGCCCCCCAAAGUCAUGAGUAUGCUUAUAUAUAGAAAUUUCUAAAAAUAUAUAUUGGACAGCUACCUCUGGGAAUUGAGGUUGGAGGGAUGUACUCUUCCAUACUAUUAUAUUUUCUUUCCAGGUUAGUGUUUGAUUCAUUGAUUAAUUUUUUUGUGUGGUACUGAGGA